ACCCCCGCAUUAUUAGUUUAAAUUAAUGUUUUGAAUUUUAUAAAAUUCAAAACAUGUAAAAUUAAAAAAUAUAAUGUAGCAAUAAGUUUUGUAUUGCUAUGCCAUCUGUGUGUUGUAUACCAAAAUAAUAGUGGCCUGCAACAAUAAAGUAAGUUUAGCGGAAGCUGCACAAUAAGGGGAAAGCCUGUCACUAAUGCUAAACAUGCACAGUAAGAUAAAAAUCUGUUAUCACAACAAUAGGAAAUAAAAAAUGACAAGGAAUGCAAGCAUUGGGAGAAGCUUUGAGCUUUGCAAAGUGCUGUAUAUGAAGGAAGGUACCUAAAGGCAUGAAUUUAUUAUAAACAGAACAGAAAAUUUAUGGAACACAUUGCCAUUGGAAGUUGUCAAGUAAACAAAUGUAAACAGUUUCAAGAGAAAAUUAGACAAAUAUUUAGUAUCAAAAAAGUUAA